GCCGACUUAGCUCAGUGGUAGAGCAGUUGCUUUGUAAGCAUCAGGUCUUCGGUUCAAUCCCGAAAGUCGGCUCCA
rnacentral:tRNA from 6 species